GUGCCUAUAGCUCAGAUGGUUAGAGUAGAGGACUCAUGAUCCUUUGGUCGCAGGUUCAAACCCCGAUUUUUACA
rnacentral:tRNA from 1 species